UACGGGGGGGGCAAGCGUUGUUCGGAAUUACUGGGCGUAAAGGGCGCGUAGGUGGCCAACUAAGUCAGACGUGAAAUCCCUCGGCUUAACCGGGGAACUGCGUCUGAUACUGGAUGGCUUGAGUGUGGGAGAGGGAUGCGGAAUUCCAGGUGUAGCGGUGAAAUGCGUAGAUAUCUGGAGGAACACCGGUGGCGAAGGCGGCAUCCUGGACCACGACUGACACUGAAACGCGAAAGCAUGGGGAGCGAACAGG
rnacentral:rRNA from 1 species